rnacentral:misc_RNA from 1 species
CAAAGAUUACGCGUGACUCGUCUACCGCCGUCGGCAUAUUUUAUUAGCUUUCGCAAUCUUGUGGCAUCCAUUACGACAUUUUGAUCAUGAUAAUACGUGGCAUUAUGGCAAAUCAUGCAAUACCGGGAAGGCAAUUUGAAAAUUAGCUUAUAUGACCAAAUGGUCCUUAAAGUGAGGUCAGACGAGUCCUUUAACUGUCGACUAUUGUACUAUCAACUGACCACCGUGCAACUACCAAUCGUAGGAGACCAAUCGCAACGCAAAACAACCAAAUUGCACAUUUAGUGUAAUCACUGGUAGUUUUUCCUGGGGUGAAACGGCAAUAGUUGCAACGUACCUUCACGCAAGCGUGAUGAUGCAACAUGGAAUCCCUUACCCUCGUAAUGGUUCCAGGCAGCAGUUGCGUGUCAGCUUUUUUUCCGGAGACAUGUCCCGCAGUUGCGUUCGUUAUACGCGCUUUAGUAUCGGUUGUAAAAAAUGCAAGCAAAAUUGUUAGUUAAUAAUGUGGCGGUUCAAAAGUGCGUUUGAGGGAAGUGUAUUUGAAAAAUUGUCAAUGCAGAUAUAUAUCUAUGAUUGCAUAAGUCUUGUCCAAAGUACCUUGGUCCGAAGAACUUUUUGGGAUGACUACGCACGGCUGUGUGAAACAUCGCUCAACCACGCGUGCAAAAGUGUACGUUACACGCACGAUGGCGUGUACACAAGGUCGAAUUGGGAUCAUCAACUCGUCGAGAUGCACACGACUCUCCAUUUUGUGUUAGUUAGCACACAACGCAACUAGACGAGCUCUGGCGCAACAUUGUGCUACAUACAUUCCGCAUAUUUCAGCGUGCUUCCUUCCUUCCUUUCAUCCCACCCUUCGAGAGUCUGCAUACCUUCACCGAGGGCAAUCUACCUAGCUGGGUAUGUCUACGUCUACGAAUAGCGGAAGCGUACGCCGAUAUGAUUGGUAUCAUCGAGCACACGCAAAAUAUUAUUCCAAACUCGACUUACGAUACACUACAUCAGGGUGUGAGUAGAAGAAUGUGCGCGAUAAAAUAUUAUAUCAUGUGACAGCAAUAAAGUGUUGUGAAUUGUAUAUCUCGUUGAAGAAUUAAACAGUUUGUUGAAUAUAUAAACUAAUGACUUAUAAAAUAUCGCUUCUUUUCGUACAAAAGUCAUUUUUCUCGAUUCUCACGUUUGUUAGUAAUUUUGCACAAGUUUAUUAUCUGUGAAUUUUAAUAACUGAAUAAACGUGUGUGACAAAAAGAAAA